CAAGCAGCCCCGGUAAUACGGAGGGUGCAAGCGUUGUCCGGAUUUAUUGGGUUUAAAGGGUGCGCAGGUGGUUUAUUAAGUCAGUGGUGAAAGACGGUCGCUCAACKAUUGCAGUGCCAUUGAAACUAGUAGACUUGAGUAAAGUAGAGGUGGGCGGAAUUGAUAGUGUAGCGGUGAAAUGCAUAGAUAUUAUCAAGAACUCCAAUUGCGUAGGCAGCUCACUUGGCUUUUACUGACACUCAUGCACGAAAGUGUGGGUAUCAAACAGGAUUAGAUACCCUGGUAGUCCACACUGUAAACGAUGAUAACUAGGUGUCGGCCGAAUCUGGUCGGUGCCACAGCGAAAGCGUUAAGUUAUCCACCUGGGGAGUACGCCGGCAACGGUGAAACUCAA
rnacentral:rRNA from 1 species